AUGGAGAAGCUCUCCGUGGCGGCCACCAUCUUCUGCGCCGUUGUCCUUGCGGCUCUGGCGGCGGCCGGCGGCGAGGCGGCCGUCGUGGAGCACACCUUUGUCGUCCACGAGAUGAACCAGACGCACAUGUGCAACACGACCAAGAUUUACGUGGUGAACGGGCAGCUCCCGGGCCCCACAAUCGACGUCACCGACGGCGACACGGUUGUCGUCCACGUUGUGAACCGUCUCCCCCACGGGCUCACCAUCCAUUGGCACGGCGUCCGGCAGAUCAGGAGCCGCUGGUCCGAUGGCGCCGGCUUCGUCACCGAGUGCCCCAUCUCUCCCGGUGGCGAGCACAUGUACCGCUUCAAUGUCACCGGCCAGGUUGGCACGCUGUGGUGGCAUGCCCAUGUUAACUGCCUUCGUGCCAAAGUCGCCGGCGCCUUCAUCAUCCGCCCCAAAGGCGGGAGGUAUCCAUUCCCGACGCCCGCCAAAGACGUCCCCAUCAUUAUCGGCGAGUGGUGGGAGCUCGACCUCGUCGAGCUCGAUAAGAGGAUGCACGACGGCAACUUCGCCGACAACCCACUGUCGGCGACCAUCAAUGGUAAGCUCAGCGACCUCAAGAACUGCUCCGGCAAGCCAGAGGAGAGCUUCGUCCUUGACGUGGUGCGCGGGGAGACAUACCUGUUGCGGAUCGUGAACACAGCCCUCUUUUCGGAGUACUAUUCCAAGGUCGCUGGGCACACGUUCACGGUGGUGGGAGCCGACGGGUACUACCUAACGCCGUACAAGACGGACAUGGUGACCGUCGCGCCAGGGGAGGCCAUCGACGUGCUCAUGGCCGCCGACGCCCCGCCCGCGCACUGCCAUAUGGUUGCGCUCGCGAACCAGCCGCCGGAGCCUGACCCGCAGAUCCCUAGGUUCGACUCCCGCGGCCUUGUCCGCUAUGCUGGAUCCUCCCACAACAACAAUGGGUUGUCGGUGCCUACUCCGCUCAUGCCCAGCCAGCACAACACCAUGCCGUCCUACUACUUCCACAACAACCUCACCGGCCUUGCCCACCCAGACCGCCACUGCGUUCCCAUGCACGUCGAUGAGCGCCUCUACUUCACGCUCAGCCUCGGCUCCAUCUGCCGAAACGGCACAAAGACGUGCCAGCGCCGGCGGAGUCGCGAGACCAUUGUGGUGGCCACCAUGAACAAUGUAUCCUUCCGCCACCCGACCCACGUCCUCCUCGAGAGGUACUACGACGGCCGGACAAGUGGCCUGUACACAGAGGACCUCCCCGACAAUCCACCACACCCGUACAACUACACCGACCGCGCCCUGAUCCCGCCAGGCCCACUGGAGGAGGCGCUGGAGCCGACGUUCAAGGCGACCAAGCUACGGAGAUUCCGGUACAACACCUCGGUGGAGAUCAUCUUCCAGAGCACGGCGUUGCUACAGAGCGACUCAAACCCCAUGCACCUCCAUGGCUAUGACUUCUUCGUCCUCGCCAUGGGGAUCGGCAACUACGACUCCAAAACAGACCCCAAGAAGUUCAACUAUCACAAUCCACAGCUGAGGAACACGGUGCAGGUGCCCAGGACCGGCUGGGCUGCUGUGCGCUUCGUCACCGACAACCCCGGAAUGUGGUACCUUCACUACCAUUUUGAGUUCCACAUCAUCAUGGGCAUGGCGACGGCGUUCAUCGUGGAGAACGGGCCGACGCCAGAGACCAGCCUCCCCCCGCCGCCACUAGAAUUCAAGAGGUGUGGUUCUAAUGGCUUAACUCAGCCAUAG
rnacentral:rRNA from 1 species